rnacentral:lncRNA from 1 species
ACCACAUACCACCCUUUUGGGAUUCUGAAAUGUCUUACUGAGCACUUUAUUCAAUCUAAAUUUAAAUAGAACUUUUCACCACUUCCCAAGAGAGAAACAACAAUGAAGGAGAUGAGAGCGAGAGGAACUGCACAGAGAUUUUAUACAUUUCACCAAGGGCUACUGCAGAGGUAAAAAAGAUUACAGAAAUUGGAGAAUAUAAAGGAGAAGAUGUGUGUUCUGAAGUUCUUGCAUUGCCUUCUGGACGUAGCUCAAUCAGUGCCCAGUGGCUCUUCUCUUACCAUGUGGUGCGGCAACUGUCCAAGUAUUUUCUAGGAUAUUAAUUCAUCCCAGUGUCACCAGCCCAGGGUUAACACCACCCACAAGGGGCUGGGCUAGGACAGUCUGAUAGAAGCAAUUCCUCAGUUGUGUUUUCCUCUUGUCAGGUCUCCACCAGAAGGUGUGGUCCAGAUUAAAGGUAUGUGUCACCAUGCCUUUAAUCCAAAAUGACCUUUAACUCAGAGAUCUCCAGUCUUAAUCAUCUGGAAUUCAUAGCCACUAUGCCUCAAGAUCUCCAUGCCAAGAUUCAGGUCAGAAACUUGUAUCUCCAAGCCUCCAGAUUAGGAUCACUGCUCAGGACCACCUGCCCAGGAGGGGUAGCAACAUUCAUACUAGACUGAACCUUUCUACAUCAAUCAUUAAUCAAAAAAAUGUUUCACAGAUGUGACCAAAGGCUAAUAAAAUGGGGAAAAUUCUGCAACUAAGAUUCUGUUUACUAAUGUAACUAGUAUAUGUAAAAUUGACAAGAACUAGCCAAUAAAGGCAUGCUGUAAAAUGCUGCUAUGGUAGAUAGUGGAUGUGAGGCAGGUGGAUCUUUAUGAGUUAGAGACUCUGUCUUCAAACUAACAAACAAAAAUCCCAUAUACCCUGAAGAUAAAAUUGUACCAAUGGCAAAGUGAAACUUCAGAUUCCCCUCCUCUAUCCUACCUAAAAAAAAACUGUAAUACAUUAUAAAUUGUAUAUUAUAGGUAUGAUUCCUUUCAGUUUUCAGUAUGUUCUUUAAAGUAUUAGUGGAAUAUUAAAUUUCAGUGGUUUAAUGCUUUAUUCAGUAUAGUAUCUGAAAAAAUGAUUUCAUAUGAAAGCAUUGGAAAUAUUCAAACAUAUAUGAGAGAGUUGUAUAAGAAAUGAGAAAAAUCAACUUAAAAUAUUUUCAUUGACUUCAUUAUGUAUCUUCUUGGUGUUAUUGGUUGCAGAAGUUCUUAAGGUAAGGAUUGUGACACUUGUCUGAGUCUUUAUCAAAUGAAUAAUAAUAGGUAAAUUAUCUUAUGAAUAAUAUCUUAAGUCAGUACUUUUGAAUACAGGAGAAUGGACAUGUUCUCCAAAUGUGUUUAGUUAAAACACUGGUACACAGAAAUAUUUAUUAGUUAUCCUAUGUAAAAUAGGGUCUGAUCAGUCAAAUGACCCAGGUAUUUUGAGGGUUAAUGCUAAAAUAAAUGAGAUCUAAAGU